rnacentral:misc_RNA from 1 species
AACGCACAUUGCGCCCUUUGGUAUUCCAAAGGGCAUGCCUGUUCGAGCGUCAUUUGUACCCUCAAGCUUUGCUUGGUGUUGGGCGUCUUUUGUCUUUGGCCUCGCCCAAAGACUCGCCUUAAAACGAUUGGCAGCCGGCCUACUGGUUUCGCAGCGCAGCACAUUUUUGCGCUUGCAAUCAGCACAAGGACGGCAAUCCAUCAAGACUACAUUUUUACGUUUGACCUCGGAUCAGGUAGGGAUACCCGCUGAACUUAA